AAAACGAAACAUCCCUAUGCUCUUCGUGUUCUAGUCGCCCCUCCAUUGAGAGUUGGCUGAGACAAAAGAUGGAUCCUGUGUAGGAAAGUGGAGACUUUGCCUCUUGAGAUGUACAGGACACUCCCAGAGAGAGACGCUCACACGAAUCCUGAUAGUCAGAAAUGACCCCAGGAUCACUCUACCCUCGAAGAAGUUCAUUUGCAAGCAACUCACAAGCUCUCCAGCUAAAUGACCUGUCCCUUUCUCCAGCCCUCCAGUCAGUGUGACCGUCUUGCUCUUUUCAGGAGUUGGUUUGCCCAUUGUUCUUGCAGUUACUUUCAGGUUGUUUUUCUUUAAAUUAAAUUUGAUGUUUCCUUUUUU
rnacentral:lncRNA from 1 species